ACUCUUCUGUCUGUUUCUUUUUUCGCCGGUUGUUUUGUUUCGCAUUUAGGUUGCGAUAGCUGGCGACUCCACUGUGUAACACCCCAAAAUUUGCCCUCCUCAUUCAUGCAUUCAUUUAGCAUUUCAUAUUGCAUUUCAUCAUGUUAAUCAGAAUUAGAUCCGAAAAAAAAAUGAAAAAAAAAACGAAAAAAAAAUCUCUAUGCUUUCAAUUUGAAUU
rnacentral:lncRNA from 1 species